GAUGAAGAACGCAGCGAAAUGCGAUAAGUAAUGUGAAUUGCAGAAUUCAGUGAAUCAUCGAAUCUUUGAACGCACAUUGCGCCCAUUAGUAUUCUAGUGGGCAUGCCUGUUCGAGCGUCAUUUCAACCCUUAAGCCCCCGUUGCUUAGCGUUGGGAACCUACAGCGAUGUAGUUCCUUAAAGUUUGUGGCGGAGUCGGUUCACACUCUAGGCGUAGUAAAUUUUAUCUCGCCUCUGUAGUUGGACCGUCCCCCGCCGUAAAACACCCCAAUUUCUAAAGGUUGACCUCGGAUCAGGUAGGAAUACCCGCUGAACUUAAGCAUAUCAAUAAGCGGAGGA
rnacentral:misc_RNA from 1 species